rnacentral:rRNA from 1 species
UACGAAGGAUCCAAGCGUUAUCCGGAUUUACUGGGCGUAAAGGGCGCGUAGGCGGCCACUGCAAGUCAGUUGUGAAAUCUCCGGGCUUAACUCGGAAAGGUCAACUGAUACUGCAGGGCUAGAGUGCGGAAGGGGCAAUCGGAAUUCUUGGUGUAGCGGUGAAAUGCGUAGAUAUCAAGAGGAACACCUGAGGUGAAGACGGGUUGCUGGCUGACACUGACGCUGAUGCGCGAAAGCCAGGGGAGCAAACGGG